rnacentral:lncRNA from 1 species
GAAAUGUAUUGUCAAUCAGUGUUGCUUCCUAAGUGGACAGUUUGAUUGCACAGAAGUGUGAUUGACUUGGAGUUACAUUGUGUUGUUUAAGUGUUCCCUUUAUUUUUUUGAGCAGUAUAUAUAUAUAUAUAUAUAUAUAUGCAUGCAAUUUUAUGGACAACGGUGGCUGGUUCUUAAAAUAACCUUUGUGUUAUUGGGCUCUUCAAAGAGCUGUUUCACUCCACGGCAUACUGCCAUGGGACUUCACCUGCUGGUGAUGAGAAAUAGGUGGUCAGCUUCUCCCUCACCUGGAGUGCCUGUCUGGGGGCGUUGUUGGCACCUACCCUGGUGACAUCAGGAAGGUGACCAUUUGGCGUGGCCAUCUCCAUCCGGAGCUGCUCCUGGAAUGACCUCCGCAGGUAGUUGUGGAGAACACAUUCUCACGCAGGCAUCGACAUUUGAGGGGCUGAGACCAAUCACUCUCCGAUACAUUCUCCACCAGGCUGCCAGAAUCCUAAAGGCGCAUUCAACAACUAACCUUGCCCUGGACAGUCGUUUGUUAAAGAUCCUUACAGGCUUUGGCAAUGGCAGCUGGCGUCCAGCGUAGGGCCUCAUGAGGUUUAACAGUACAUCAGACGGUUUAACAGCCAUCACUAGGAGAUGCUGCUGCCUAUAUUCAGAACACUAGUCACUUUAACAAUGUUUACAUAUCUUGCAUUACUCAUCUCAUAUAUUUAUACAUUCUUAUUCCAUUCCUUUACUUAGAUGGUUGUAUUAGGUAUUUGUUGUGGAAUUGUUAGAUAUUACUUGUUAGAUGCACCCGCAGAACUAGAAGCAUAAGCAUUUUGCUACACUCGCAAUAACAUCUGCUAACCAUGUGUACAUGACCAAUAAAAUACCUUAACCCCAAAACCUAACCUUAACCCUAAACCCACCCUUACCCUAAACCAAACCUUACCAUAAACCUAGCUCCUAACACUAAUUCUAACCUUAACCUUAAACUCUCUAGAAAUAGCAUUUGACCUUGUGGGGACUUACAAAAUGUCCCCAGUUGGUCAACUUUUUGUUUGUUCAUUAUUCUUGUGAGGACUUUUGGUCCUCACAAGUGUAUUUAAACACACACACACACAAUGGAGCUGGACUAGGGCUAAUGCAUUCUGACAGGAGAGUGACUGCUUCUUCUACACUAAGGAGGUGAGUCAGAAUAUAUAUAAUUUUAAGUGCACAGAGUGUGUGUGCCAGUAUUGUGUGAAUGUGUAUAAUUUUUACAUCAAAAAGGAAAAGCUCACACACCACUCUGUCUAGGAGUAACAUCAUUAACUCACGGUAAAAGAGGAAGCUAAUGCAGUCUCAUCCCCCUCUAACUACUACUGUGUCUAAAUAUGCAGGGUGGGUGGGUGCAAGUCAGACACACCCACAGUUUUACUGUAUAAUCCUCCUCCAAUUGAAAUACUCUAAUAUAUUAUCUCAUAUGAAUAUCCGCUCCUCACUCUCGCCUUCUCCAGCAGCUGUGUAGAAGCUGCGCUGUACACCGUUCCAGGAUCAGCUUACCCUCCCUCAGUCCUUAUUUUAUCCAUAGAGGGAGAUGCUAAACUGACCUUACAUCAGUCUGUAAGGGCAACCUCAUCUACUCCAGUACAGACAUGCCUGGGGUAUUUAAAGCAGUCUACAUCAGAUGUGCUCCCAUGGAAGAGAUGCUGUGAUAGAAGCAUGUUGAUGUACACAUUAUGUAACAUAGUCUACACAGGGUUAUAUACAGCUCAAUAAUAUGGGACUGCUGUCUGUAGCAUCAGUAAUGAGUUAUGUACACUGUACCAGAAGAUUUGUGUGUGCACACCAUGGACUAAUUUGGGAAUGCAGUGUGUAGGUUGUGAAAUGACUCGUUUGACUGAGAAGUCUACCCACGUAGGGCACAAUAAGCCCCUGUCUGUUAUUUCCUGAACAUCUCUCUCUCUCUCCUUUUUAGAUUGUACUUUUCUCAUUUCCUCUGGUAUCGACUCACUUUUCCCCAUCUCUCUUCCCCCUCUCCUCUCUUCCUCCUGUCAGACUACGACUAAGACGGUGAAAAAGACACCAAAGAAGAAGACAACCACCACAGCUACAGCCAGCAACAACGCUGAGUCACCAUGAUAUCUGUAUCUACUGACCCCAUCUACACCUUACUGAACACCACUACAGCCAUGUAACAGGCCCUCUCUGUCUCCAGUCCCCACACACACACACACGGACCUCUGGAGUGUCACCCUCGCCGGUUAAGCACAACUCGCAGGUUUAGUUCAACUGUAGAUGGCCAGCAGGCUUAGUCCUACUGUAGAUGGCCAGCUUCAUGUCAACUCGCAGGUUUAGUUCAACUGUAGAUGGCCAGCAGGCUUAGUCCUACUGUAGAUGGCCAGCUUCAUGUCAACUCGCAGGUUUAGUUCUACUGUAGAUGGCCAGCAGGUUUUGUUCUGCUGUAGAUGGCCAGCUUCAUGUCAACUCACAGGUUUAGUUCUACUGUAGAUGGCCAGCAGGCUUAGUUCUACUGUAGAUGGCCAGCUUCAUGUCAAUUCACAGGUUUUGUUCUACUGUAGAUGGCCAGCAGGUUUAGUUCUACUGUAGAUGGCCAGCUUCAUGUCAACUCACAGGUUUUGUUCUACUGUAGAUGGCCAGCUUCAUGUCAACUCGCAGGUUUAGUUCUACUGUAGAUGGCCAGCAGGCUUAGUUCUACUGUAGAUGGCCAGCUUCAUGUCAACUCACAGGUUUUGUUCUACUGUAGAUGGCCAGCUUCAUGUCAACUCACAGGUUUUGUUCUACUGUAGAUGGCCAGCAGGUUUUGUUCUACUGUAGAUGGCCAGCAGGCUUAGUUCUACUGUAGAUGGCCAGCUUCAUGUCAACUCACAGGUUUUGUUCUACUGUAGAUGGCCAGCUUCACGUCAACAACACUUGUUUUAUUUAACCUGCUGCUUACAUAUUCUAGGUUUUAUAGUCAUUAACCUCAGUGUGUGUGUGUGUUUUAGUGAUGGCCUGUUAUCUGGACUGAAAAAGAGUUGCUUCCUUCCUGCUGUACAGAUAAUAGCCCUCUGUGUUGGGCCCCUCCCAGGCCAUCCAAGGCCUCACACUAGAUUGACAUGACAUAAUCCUCUUGGGAGCAUAGGGCAUCCAUCAUGAAUCUCCAUCCCCCUCACUAUGCUAGGGCAUCUACCAUGGCUCUCCACCUCCCUCACUAUGCUAGGGCAUCUACCAUGGCUCUCCACCUCCCUCACUAUGCUAGGGCAUCUACCAUGGCUCUCCACCUCCCUCACUAUGCUAGGGCAUCUACCAUGGCUCUCCACCUCCCUCACUAUGCUAGGGCUUUGCCUCUUAGCAGGAGAUCCCCACUGGUUUAUUGGAGAUGCAUUCUCUAUAAACGUACGUUCCAGUCAGAGUAUGGUAUCUCUAUUGGAGGGUAGCUGGGGGCUGCCAUGAAUGGAAAGGUAGACUAGUGGACUAGGCAUGUGUGAAGGAGAGAUCAGGGAGGGAAGAGAGUAGAGAGUGAUGGGCGCCAAAGGAUCAUUGUUGUUGUCCUGGCCUAACUGGCCUCUACUCAACAUGUCUGACUACAUAGACGGGGUCAUGUGAUCUCUGGAAGGCAGAGGACAUUCUGGGAGCACUUAUCUCUAACAGUGUUAAGCCGAUGCCAUGGUUACCCAUAUCAUUCACUCUACUGUAAUGGAGCAGUAGACUGAUGAACACUUGGUCACGCGCCCACAGAGAGAUGAAGAGAUCUGUUUGUUCUUUCUCUCUCUCCUCUCCCUCUGGACAGCUCUACCCUCUCACCCCGUUCAGCUCAGAACGGUCCAGCGGAAAGACACACAGCUUCAGGCAUCAUUACCUUUUCUGUCUGAGUGUGUGUGUGUGUGUGUGUGUGUGUGUGUGUGUGUGUGUGUGUGUGUGUGUGUGUGUGUGUGUUUUUGGAACAUGACCAAGCUUCUGUUUUUCCCCUCUCUGUUGUCCCAACUGCAUAGAGACAGAAUGACAGAGUUCUCUGACCACUUAUAAUAACGUAACCAUCCACAAGGUCUUAAACUGCAGCUCAUAGCAUAGCUAAACAGUACAGACAACCAACAGUUAAUUUAACUUUGUUAGACUUGUGCUUAGGGUUAUUUUUGUUUACACUAAAUUGACUGGCUUAUAGGAUGUAAGAGUGGCAUAGUGGUCACCAAGCUAAUGUUAAUACUCUGUUGAUACCAGGCUACAUUAUGGAACACCACUAUGGAUCCCUGUCUUGUUUCAAUGUGUUUAUAUUAUCAGGGUGGUGUAGUGCCCUAUUAGGAAGACCUUCAGGUGAGCCUGGCUUAGCUAAGUCUGGGUCUUACCUGGGCGAGGUCACCCCGGUCUGACUAGGCAAAUAUCUGAGGGAUCUACUACUAUUGUAUAAUAUAUGACUGUCAUACUAGGUAUUGUAUAAUGUAUGACUGUCACUAAACAGUAUUUUGUCCUGUGUUUUCACUUCUAUUCCUGAAUGGGUU